UGCGUCUCGUGCAUUCGCGCCUCGUGAUAGCUCCCGCGUGCAAUUCGGAGCAGCAAUAGCAUCUCGCCUCGGCGCUUGUUUCUUUCUCCUUUUCCUUUCGUCGCGAAAGAAGACGGGGAAACGGCGUCGAUCGUCGUGGUCUGUAGUGAAGUUUGUCGCGGGAUAAGCAAAGCGCGCUGCCACCGCCGCCGCCGUCAUCGCCGUCGCUAACGCGGCUAACCUAAAUAUUCGGAAGCCGUAACGUAAUUUUCUCUCGUCACUCCCUCCCUCUCUCUCUCUCUCUCUCUCUCUCUUUUUCUCUCCCUGUCUCAAUCUCCCUCUCCUGUCUCUUCCUCCCCGCCUUUUUCUCUCUUUUUCUCCUUCUCCAUCUCUCUCGCUCUAUUGACACGUCGUCAUCAACGAUAGCCGUGUCUGUCGCGCGUCAACGCGGCGGACUUCCUCGCUUUACGUGCUGACAACGCGAAUCAGAAAUACCGCCGAGGAUACCGUAGUGAGCCGCGAGUGCAUGUCGCGAGGACCCGUCGCGCUCCGAACAGUGAUUCUAAGCCGCGACGAAGUGCGCGCCGCGCUUCUUCCGUCGUCCUCGUUCUCGUUCUCGUCCUCCUUGUCGUCCUCCUUGUCGUCGGUGGCGGCGGCAACUCGUCACGCCGAUCCAUCGUCGCGUUUCGUAAUUUCGCAAGGACGUGGAACGCCGUGGGACAAUCUCCUGCGUCUCUACGAUAUCCUCGAGACUGUUAGUGUGAAUGAACGUAUACGAUCACUGAAAGGAUAACAUUAGUGAAGCAUCUACGAAGCAGUAAUCAUGGAAGACGGCCAUUCUAAAACUGUGGAAGAAGUAGUAAAUUACUUCAACGUCGAUCCUGACAAAGGACUGUCUCCCGAUCAAGUCAAAAGGAACCAGGAGAAAUAUGGUCUUAACGAAUUGCCAGCUGAGGAAGGAAAAUCCAUCUGGCAACUCGUUCUGGAACAGUUCGAUGAUCUUCUAGUUAAGAUUCUUCUAUUAGCCGCUAUUAUUUCUUUUGUAUUAGCCUUAUUUGAAGAGCACGAGGAUGCGUUCACGGCCUUCGUCGAACCCUUCGUUAUCCUGCUCAUUCUCAUCGCCAAUGCCGUAGUCGGCGUCUGGCAGGAACGGAACGCCGAGUCUGCGAUAGAGGCGCUCAAGGAAUAUGAGCCAGAAAUGGGUAAAGUUGUACGAUCGGACAAAGCCGGCGUCCAGAGGAUCCGGGCCAAAGAGAUCGUGCCUGGUGACAUCGUGGAAGUAUCGGUCGGCGACAAGAUCCCGGCGGACAUCCGUCUUACCAAAAUCUUCUCGACCACUCUUAGGAUUGAUCAAUCUAUUCUGACCGGUGAAUCGGUGUCUGUUAUUAAGCACACCGAUCCCGUGCCCGACCCACGCGCCGUCAAUCAGGACAAGAAGAACAUCUUGUUCUCUGGUACUAACGUUGCCGCUGGCAAGGCCCGCGGUGUCGUCAUUGGAACUGGCUUGAACACGGCCAUCGGUAAGAUUCGUACAGAGAUGUCGGAGACCGAGGAGAUCAAGACACCAUUGCAGCAAAAAUUGGAUGAGUUCGGCGAACAGUUGUCAAAGGUUAUCUCGGUGAUUUGCGUCGCCGUGUGGGCCAUCAACAUCGGCCACUUUAACGAUCCGGCUCACGGUGGAUCCUGGAUCAAGGGUGCCAUCUACUAUUUCAAGAUCGCCGUCGCUCUCGCUGUAGCCGCUAUUCCUGAGGGUUUGCCCGCCGUUAUCACGACUUGCUUGGCUCUGGGUACCAGGCGUAUGGCCAAGAAGAACGCUAUUGUACGAUCCUUGCCGUCUGUAGAAACUUUGGGUUGCACGUCCGUCAUCUGCUCUGACAAAACUGGCACUCUGACGACUAACCAGAUGUCCGUUAGCCGAAUGUUUAUCUUUGAGAAGAUCGAUGGUAAUGACAGCAGCUUCCACGAAUUUGAGAUCACCGGAUCGACUUACGAACCCAUCGGUGAAAUCUUCUUGAGGGGACAGAAGAUCAAGGGACAGGAUUAUGAGACUUUGCAUGAGAUCGGUACCAUCUGCAUCAUGUGCAACGACUCCGCUAUCGAUUUUAACGAGUUCAAACAAGCAUUUGAGAAGGUUGGCGAGGCCACAGAGACCGCCCUAAUCGUUCUCGCCGAGAAGGUCAAUCCGUUCGGUGUGCCGAAGAGUGGCCUGGAUCGCCGAACUGGCGCCAUUGUCGUCAGGCAAGAUAUCGAGACGAAGUGGAAGAAGGAAUUCACACUAGAAUUCUCACGCGAUCGCAAGUCCAUGUCGUCGUAUUGCGUGCCUCUGAAACCAACAAAGCUGGGAAACGGACCGAAACUAUUCGUCAAGGGUGCGCCAGAGGGUGUGCUAGACAGGUGCACGCACUGCCGCGUCGGUGGUCAGAAGGUGCCACUUACUUCAACUCUGAAGAACCGCAUUUUGGACCUGACCCGGCAAUACGGAACUGGUAGAGAUACCCUACGCUGUCUCGCUCUCGCCACUGCCGAUCAUCCGAUGAAGCCCGACGAGAUGGAUCUCGGCGAUUCUACCAAGUUCUAUACAUACGAAAGGGAUCUCACGUUCAUCGGCGUAGUAGGUAUGCUUGAUCCGCCUCGCAAGGAAGUAUUCGAUUCGAUUGUUAGGUGCCGCGCCGCCGGUAUCCGCGUAAUCGUCAUCACCGGCGACAAUAAGGCCACUGCUGAAGCUAUUUGCCGACGUAUCGGAGUCUUUGGAGAGGAUGAAGACACCACUGGCAAAUCAUACUCUGGACGUGAAUUCGAUGAUUUGCCGAUAUCGGAGCAGAAAGCUGCUUGCGCUAGAGCUCGUCUCUUUUCUCGUGUAGAACCGGCUCACAAGUCCAAGAUCGUUGAAUACCUACAAAGCAUGAACGAGAUUUCUGCCAUGACUGGUGACGGUGUAAACGACGCUCCCGCCUUGAAGAAAGCCGAGAUUGGUAUCGCCAUGGGUUCUGGCACUGCGGUCGCGAAAUCUGCUUCGGAGAUGGUGUUGGCAGACGACAACUUCUCCUCCAUUGUAGCCGCCGUAGAAGAGGGCCGUGCCAUUUAUAAUAAUAUGAAACAAUUUAUUCGUUAUCUUAUUUCUUCCAAUAUCGGCGAAGUCGUCAGUAUAUUCUUGACUGCUGCCCUUGGUCUUCCUGAAGCUCUGAUCCCGGUCCAACUUUUAUGGGUCAACUUGGUUACUGAUGGUCUUCCAGCUACCGCUCUCGGUUUCAAUCCACCUGAUUUGGACAUUAUGAGCAAGCCCCCUCGCAAAGCUGAUGAAUCACUUAUUUCCGGAUGGCUGUUUUUCCGCUAUUUGGCUAUUGGUGGAUAUGUAGGCGCUGCCACUGUCGGUUCGGCUGCUUGGUGGUUCAUGUAUAGUCCGAAUGGUCCUCAACUGAACUAUUAUCAAGUUACUCAUCACUUGGCGUGCAUUGGUGGUGGAGAGGAAUUCAAGGGUAUUAACUGUAAGAUCUUCUCUGACCCUCACCCCAUGACUAUGGCUCUCUCUGUGUUAGUCACUAUUGAAAUGUUAAACGCCAUGAACAGCUUGUCUGAGAAUCAAUCGCUCAUCAGUAUGCCGCCUUGGUCCAAUUUGUGGCUCAUCGCCUCCAUGGCUCUUUCUUUCACACUCCAUUUUGUCAUCUUGUAUGUCGAUGUUCUUUCGUCCGUAUUCCAAGUGACCCCGUUGACGUGUGAAGAAUGGCUUACCGUUAUGAAGUUCUCCAUUCCAGUGGUACUUCUCGACGAAACCUUGAAGUUCAUUGCCAGAAAAUUCACAGACGGUGAGAAUCCAAUUUACACCGUGCAUUGGAUCGUUCUAAUGUGGGCUGUGUUCUUUGGACUGUUGCAUAUUUGUCCCAUAUAGAACGUCCGCGAAAUAAUAAUAAUAUUAAUCUAGCAGAUGAUGUUUUUUUCCUAUGGAAAAGCAUCCGCGAUUAUAAAAUUGGACUCGCAAUUGCAUUUAACCGAAGCUCUUCCCACCGUGACGCGGGAAGGCGCGAGAUAAGUUAUUAACAGAGUGCGUUCAAGUGAGAUUUUAACAAAUUUGACUGUUGUGCAUGGUGUUAGUACAACCAUAUGUAUAUGAGAUACGCCACCAAGGCCCAUCAUGCCCGCAUCACACACCGUACCCUGACGUCGUUCAACGAUCACGGGUUUCGAGUGGCAUCGAGUGAUCCAUAAGAAAGAACCCCAGCGUAAAUCAAAGAUUGUGAUCGUUAAAUUAUUUUCUACGAGUGCCUUUUGAACAUUGAAUUUCCUCUGCAACCAAUACGAAAUUGUUCGUAGAUGUUCUUUCCGAUAGAUGUGUUUGAAACGUCCCAAUCCUUGUUCUGUGUACUAUUAUUUUUGUACCUUUUUUUUUUUUUUUUUUUUUUUUUUCUUGAGCACUCUUCGGUUAGCAAUGGAUAAAUUGUGGCACCAGUCCUAUAGUGCACCAAUGCAGUUAAAACUCAUGUUGAUUCAUUGCACGCAUUUCUCCAUCUGCGUUUUUCGCCGAUAUUAAUAAUGUUAUAACAUAAACUUUUAUAUCUGUGCAUGUUCGCGGAGUGUAUAAUUAAUCUUCAUCGAUUUGGAAAGUACAAAAUACAGCAUGUUAUAAUCGUACCGGGAAUAAUAACUUCGGUUUUCAGCGCAGAUGAUACAUUCGUGACAUGAGCAGAGGCAUUUCUAUUAAAGUAAUAGGCGCGUUUACACAACGAAGACAAUAAAACACUCGGCAGAAACGCGGAUGGAAAGAACAAUUCCUAUAGUAGUUAUAUUAUAUAGUGGCUAUAUUAUAUUUGACUACCUUUUCCUCUGAUUUUUAUUUUCAGAUUGAGUUUAAUGCACCACGCAUGCAUUAAAUUAGCAUAAUAUUUGGUUUACGCGAUUAACAUAUACGUUUCAUAAAUUCUCCGCUUACACUUCUUUUAUGUUGCUUUUGAUGUUGCUUGUUAUAAAUCGCAUUUAUUGAUGGAUUCUUAGUGUCUGGUGUUCCUGUUUCGACCCCGAAAUCAGAACCGAAGCUGUCUGAGCGUUUGCCGAAAUUUCAAGGGAAUACAAGAACUUCGCACUAACGGAUCUCAUUUUGUGUUCUGCAUACCGUGUCUUCCUUCCUGUAGAGAUAAUCCAUGCACGGUACUAACAGCACGUGUUUGUAAGAUCCUCUCUUGUUGUAAUCUAUUCCUUUUAAUUAUUAUGUAUCCUAUUGUGCCAUGCGAUUAACGAACGAUUCAAUUUCGCGCAUCCUUCAGAGAAUAUGCGCGCUCAGUAUAUAUAUUGUUAAUUCAUUUAAGUAGAGAACAGAAGACUUGGUUUUCAAUGUCUUUAUGAAUUAACUUUCCAUCAAGAUCGUCGAGUCGUAUAUUAUGCUAAUUUUUCUUUCUACAAGCGCGAUAAAUCGUGAAAUGAAAUUUUGUAAAUAUUAACAUCUCUAACCAAUCGUAAUCGGCACAGUAGGAUUUCUUCUCAUUUCUCAUUCUGGUUUGCGAUAGCGUCUGUCUCUUAUGUGUAUAACGUAUUAUAUAUAUGCAUAUAUAUACAUACAUACAUACAUACAUACAUAUAUAUAUAUAUAUACAUAUAUAUAUGUGUAUGUGAUUUAUGUAUUUGAAAGAUUUAUGCAGUACAACAUAGAUUCGCGUAUCGCUAAUUUCCGGAUAUGAACUGCAGAGAUUCGUAAGUGUAGAAUAAGGCAACCGUCAAGCAGAGGAAUCAUAUAAUUAAUCUCAUUAUUUUUUUCAAAACACAGUCCAUAGAUUUUCUAGUACAUUUGUUCAUAUACAUUAUUAUCGGAGCAGUGUUCCAAACAUGAACAUAUUCAAUGUCAGGAUCGACUAUCCAUUUUCAUUAAUAGUGAUAUCAUUAUGUUGCUCGUAGAAUUAAUAAAACGACGUAGAAUUUUUUUAAAUAAAUUCAUCAUUGAUAAUAAAAUAAUUAGCUAGACGCAUAUAUCAUUGUUUUCCGUCUCUACUCCCGAAAAGCUUUUUGCAUUUUUAUUUUAAGCACGUGCAUAUUAAACUUACGACAUCCUUAAUCGCAAAAUUCUGAUUUUAAUGAAAUUUUAUGAAUAUAUAGAGGAGGCUAAUACAAAUGAAUUUAAUAAUUUUUGACUAAUACACAGAAAAUUGCUUUAGGAUUGAAGAUUCUCAAAAGAAUUAUUGUUUUCUACUAAUAUAUAAUAAAUUAGUUUAUAGAUUAUUUAAAAUGUUAAAAUAAUAUAUUCAAUUUGAAACAUACAAUUUAAUUUGACAAAAUGGAUCAAUAUAAAAGAAAUCGGUUUUUUAUUGUUACUGAAGAAGAUUGCUUCAGGAAUGAUAUAUUAUUUAUUACAGCUAUUUUUUGGCGGAAAAAAAAGUUUUUUCUGGUGGCUCCCUUCUCUAUGUAUAUACAAAAUUUUAUUAAGGAUCAUCGCUGAGUCUGCUUCAUUGAACUGUGAUAUAGUUUCAUUGACGAAAAUUUAUUUGUUGGAAUUUAAAUUACGGAUGGAGCUUCCCAUUUAUUUUCUCGUUUAUAACAUAAUUUCAAACGAUCAAUAUGCAGACAUCGCCGAUCCUCAGAACUUUUGCAUUAGGAAAAACAAUCUCUGAUUAUUAUUGAAAAUAUUUUUCGAUUGAGUGAACAAACGAGUUCGGUCACUGCCUUAGCUACACGCGCCACACAUGAAACGAAUAAUCGGUGUCGUCACGAGUACGUGGGCCUUCUGAUGCAUCUGACCGCUUAGUCAGUUCACCCCUUAGAGCGUAUUCUGUCGGUGCAAGCAUAUGAUCCGCAUCUUAAAUACAUGCGUUAAACGGUGCAUUUAGCGCGUUAAAGCGCUUGUCUUAAUCUCGAUUUCUUUCUCUUUCCAUUUAUUAGUGACACGUUUAGCAAGAAUCUUUAUUUUUCACAAUAUGAUAUUUCUAAAGCUUAGUUUCCUCGUUACAUUCGAUCCGAGAGAAGAUAAUCGGCGCAAGAGCAAUGUUAUAUCGUGACACAUGAUGAUAAAUUGUUUCGAGAAUAGCUUUUACACUUCCAUCGACAGUGUACGAUCCAAGGUUCAUCCGGAUCUUCGUAGAGAUCGCCGUAAGACGCCGCGAUCCAGCGUGCGAAACGCAACACGUGCUCCGCUCCUCGGACAUUGCAAACGCAACAAGACUGACGAUGUGUUCCGCAGAGGAGCGGAUGCAUCCGCUGCGUUUUCCGCACGUGACGCAUAAUAAUUUAAUUGCGCCGUAGCAGGCGCCUUUCAGGAAUCGUGCCGUAGGCACGAUAGUGUAAUAUAAUUAAUUAAUUAUUAAUAUAUUAAUUAUAUAUAUGCUUUAAUUAUUAAUAUAUUAGUGUAAUAUAUUAAUAAUUGAAGCAACGGUUAAGGCGUGAUACUUUGGUAUGGGCAUAAUUAAAACUUAAUCAGACCGAACGAGUUAGCGCUAUUACGCACUAACAAAGAAUCUAAUACAAUUUUGUGACGCUCAAUAAAUUUGGCGAAAUUAAUCGGGGAGUCUGGAUGUGCGAGAUAAUGCAUACGACGAAUCUCGAGAAAGCUCCCAAAAAUUCAUAAAUCAUUAAACCUUUAAAGGUCUGAAAACCUAGUAAAAUAGUACAGGGAAAAAUUCUCGGGAAAAAGGAAAGUUUUUAUUUUCUUCGGGAUUCGUCGCUCGUUACUUCUUUGCGUCCGAAUCUCUGCUUUGUCCACGAUGUAUCUGUAAGUACUUGUGUAUUGUAUUUUACGUUUGAUCGAGAAUGACGGAGUAGUGUCAUCUCGACGAAAGAGCUCUGCGUGACGUUAUGCAAUUAUCGAUGAGUUUGUUUAAUGAAAAUUGUAAUCUGAGUAUGCAUAUUUCGAUUAGUUUUUGAUGCUGAAUAUGAAAAGAAAAAUUGAGAUUUAUAUUUAUAAUUGUGUCUCUUUACACAUAUAUUUAACAUAUCAUAUAUAAUUUAUGAAUUAUAAUUUAAAAACAAAUUAUACUUUUUUUAUCCGACAAAAGUUAAAUACUCGUGGCUGAUAUCGUUGAAUAUUUCUCAUCGAUCUUUGUGUAACGUCGAGACAAUUAAACGCAGUGUCCAGCGACGAUGAGACUACAAUCGUGACGUUUCCUGCAGGAAGUACCUAUAUUUCUUUAACGAUAAUAAAGUAAAUAUUAAUAUUAUUAACUUAUGGAAUACUAUAAUAUUGAGUGAUUUGAAGUAUACACACUCGCCGCGGAUGCGUUUCGCGGCGAACGAUACCCGGCAAUUAUGGUUCUGGGUGUAAUCAGAUUCGCGUAGAAAUGAGAAAAAAAUAAAAAUAAAUAAAGAGAAAAAUAUUAUAUAACACGAAUCCGACUGUUGCGCGAGUUACGAGAUCCAGUCUAUAUAUGAUAAAUAUAAUUACGUCAUAAUUAUCGCCAUUUUUUUUGUUGGUGUUCGCAAUUUCUUUAUUUAUCGUCUGAUUCAUCUUUUUGUCUAUUCUUUUAUGUAUUCAAUUCAAGCUCGUACGGAAUGAUAUUAUAACAAGUGAGAGUAUAUAUAUGGCGAUGUGGAACGAUUUAGAGUGCAUUACUUGUUAUAAUAAAAAGAAUCAUGUGUUACUAAUGUGCGUGUCUCGAUUCUCAAUGAUUAGCCUAUUGAUCCGCCGGUGACUUUCGCUUCAAUUUGUCAACUGGCGCUCGCGUAUUUUACUGUCACAGAACUGAACACUUAAUAUACCGCUGACCGUAAUAAGUGUUUGGUUUAGUCUGUAUCCCUAAGUAUGCCUAAAGCCCCACUCUAACUUCUUGCCUUUUUCUCUUUUUAUCUGUUAUUCCCUUUCACGAGAUUCUGAAUGCUCAUUGUAACUACAGCUGGCUUAAGACAUUCAAGCGUGGGCCAAAGUUGUACGAAGCUACUAAUCGUGAAUAUAAAGUUAGAAUUUUAGAAUGAAAAUUAAAUCUCUAUUUUUUACUCGUAUUUUCACGAAUAAAGAAGUAAGAUUAAAAUUUUUUAUCAAAUAUUUUUAAAGUUACGUGAAAAGAUUAUAUAUUCUGUAGAGAAUUAUUAGGUUUAAAAUUAAAAUUAUACAGAUUACUCAAUAAUUUCAAAAUAUUAGGACUACGGUCCGCUCAUCCAAUGAUUAAGGCAGCCUUUGCUUACAUAUAUAUGUAAUCUUAGGAAUUUCUCGAUAUAAUAAAUCUCGAAAGGUUUGCAAGGACUUCUCGGUGGGGACCAUCUUGAGAACAGUUUGCUUAUGUGGAGGCAAGAUUUCGGAAGAUAAAACACCUUUAACGGUGAUGCCGAAAUACCAUUUUUUUCGACAUAAUGAGUCCUCGAAUCUUUCCAUUAUCGCGGCUACUAUGUGUCCUCCCCCUCCCCCUCUCUUCGGCCCUCUUUCCUACGGAAAAUUGUGUUUGGAGUUCUUGCAUGCGUUCAUUGGAAAAACGAACCGAUGUGAUAACUGUCAACCCAGAAUGACCCAAGUCCUAAAAUCGAGGAAGUUGAAAAACAUCACCCCCGUGAUACAAAACGCGACCUCGACACCCCUUUUUAUUAACUUCCUGCCUGCUGGUGUGCCAAACUGUACAGUCACAAGGAAGGACAGUCUUCGAGAACGACUACGGGCGCGUGGAUGAAACAGUGGCACCGUCAGUGACGCCGACAAAAUAAAGACCGAAUGGGCGUAGGGCGAAUCUUGAGAAAGAGAGAGAGAGACACCUAUAAUCGGCCGCAGCCGAGAAAUCUCGGCGACUCAGCACUCACACUACACUCUCGAGCUGCUCUCGAAGAGGGAUCGGAGACGUCUUUUAUAACAGAAAAAAAAAUUCCCCCCGAGAAUGCGAAACUAAAGCAUCCCUCCUUCCCCCAACACACGCACCGCCACAAGCAUCACAUAAACGCGCGCACGCACUUGCCGCGUUUGCACGUUUGUCUGCAUGACAAUCGGACGUCCAGAUCGAUCUCCCGAUCGAGAGAUGACGGAAAAGAAGGAAGAGAACGAAUGUACGACUAGCUUAGAAUGAUUAGAAUAUUGUCGCAGUAUUUGUCCAUCUUUAAUUGAUACUUUUAUUCGUUUAUUUGUUUAUUACGUUGUACGCGCCAGUAGGUUUCUAAUUAUAUCAUGAUUGUGAUGAUAAGAAAAUAAGGAUAUUGAUUUUACUCGAAUCAAAACUCGUACACUUUAUUUCAUUUGUUACUAUUGUAUCAUCGAAAGAAGAACGCAUCGUCGAGACACAAUAAUUUUUUUUAUCAAAAGGAACAGUUUUUUUAUGCAAAACUGCAACGAUUUUGUGACCUUUUCUUUUCGCAAGGAUCCGUACAUUCGUUCGUUUGAGCAAAUCUCAUCCGAUUAAUCCGAGGACCGAUCGUUUCAGAUCGCCGAUGUCGAGAGGAGGAUGCAGGAGCGCGCUAUAAAAUAGCCAGCCUUGCACACUACGAAUCUUUUCCACUUUAGUUCUCCAUUCUUUUUUUCUUUAGGUCACCGCCGCUCGUUAAUAGUUCUCGUGUGUGUUAUGUUGCAGUAAAUGAGGUGGUCGUUGACAAGUGGUCCCAUUAAAUGAGUGGGUCGUCGACAGGCACGAAUCCCUCACACUCCGUCGCCGCCGCCCCACCGAGCGCGCGCAAAAAAAGAGCAAGCUCAGCCCGAAAAAAAA